GACGAACGCUGGCGGCGUGCUUAACACAUGCAAGUCGAACGGAAAGGCCCUGCUUUUGUGGGGUGCUCGAGUGGCGAACGGGUGAGUAACGCGUGAGUAACCUGCCCUUGACUUUGGGAUAACUUCAGGAAACUGGGGCUAAUACCGGAUAGGAGCUCCUGCUGCAUGGUGGGGGUUGGAAAGUUUCGGCGGUUGGGGAUGGACUCGCGGCUUAUCAGCUUGUUGGUGGGGUAGUGGCUUACCAAGGCUUUGACGGGUAGCCGGCCUGAGAGGGUGACCGGCCACAUUGGGACGGAGAUACGGCCCAGACUCCUACGGGAGGCAGCAGUGGGGAAUAUUGCACAAUGGGCGGAAGCCUGAUGCAGCAACGCCGCGUGCGGGAUGACGGCCUUCGGGUUGUAAACCGCUUUCGCCUGUGACGAAGCGUGAGUGACGGUAAUGGGUAAAGAAGCACCGGCUAACUACGU
rnacentral:rRNA from 1 species